GCCCCCACCGGGUGGUGGUGGUGGUGUUGGGGCGGCGCCGGGGUCCCCGCGUUCUCGGGGUGCGAGCCGCCGCAGCCCGUGGUGUGGAGGGGCGAGAUUCACGUGACAGCCACCGAGGGCCGGGCCCUGACCCCCAGAUCUAGUCCCGCCGCCCUGCGAGGGUCCUCUCGGGUCAAGGAGAGAACUCACCCAACUAACAGAAGUUUUCAGACCUUCAACCCAGAGUCCCACCAGGAAGCCAGUUCAGAAGCACAGCUCUGGCUUCCAACCUAACCCUCCCCCCCCCAGGUUCACCUCUGCGCCCGGCCCCUCUCCAGGCCCCUGUUCCUCAUGGAACCCCCUCUGGCCCACCCCCAGUCACAGGUAGGAGCUUUGUGUUGAGGGACCAGAGGAGGCAGUACAGCAAAACCUCAUUAAUCCAAACCCCUGUGGAUUUGGAAGUUUUGUUUUGUUUUUCAUAAUUUGAACAAAACUGGGGCUUAGGUUUUACUUUAUCUGUGAAGAAAGGGUGUGCUAAGCAAAUUAGGGGUAGAAAUGUGUCUGUGGGAAGGGAUAUUUAACCUAUACCAGCAAACACUUUUCAGUCUGAUCUGUUCAUUAAGGCUCCCUGAGGGCCUGAACAGAAGCCUUGUUCACCAGGUUCUACUUACUGUAUAUGUUUUGAAGACAAGCAUUUCAUUAAACAGACACUGUCAUUCAGUUUUGUCACUUA